UAGGGAAUCUUCCGCAAUGGACGCAAGUCUGACGGAGCAACGCCGCGUGAGUGAAGAAGGGUUUCGGCUCGUAAAACUCUGUUGUUAAGGAAGAACACUUUGGGUAGUAACUGGCCUAGAGAUGACGGUACUUAACCAGAAAGCCACGGCUAACUACGUGCCAGCAGCCGCGGUAAUACGUAGGUGGCAAGCGUUAUCCGGAAUUAUUGGGCGUAAAGCGCGCGUAGGCGGUAGAAUAAGUCUGAUGUGAAAGCCCCCGGCUCAACCGGGGAGGGUCAUUGGAAACUGUUUUACUUGAGUGCAGAAGAGGAGAGUGGAAUUCCAUGUGUAGCGGUGAAAUGCGCAGAGAUAUGGAGGAACACCAGUGGCGAAGGCGGCUCUCUGGUCUGUAACUGACGCU
rnacentral:rRNA from 1 species